rnacentral:rRNA from 1 species
AUUGAACGCUAGCGGGAUGCCUUACACAUGCAAGUCGAACGGAGUGGCGAACGGGUGCGUAAUGUAUCGGAACGUGACCAGGAGCGGGGGAUAACUACGCGUAAGCGUAGCUAAUACUGCAUACUUUUGCUGCGGCCGAUAUCGGAUUAGCUAGUUGGUGGGGUAAGGGCACACACAGGCGACGAUCCGUAGCUGGUUUGCGAGGACGACCAGCCACACUGGGACUGAGACACGGCCCAGACUCCUACGGGAGGCAGCAGUGGGGAAUUUUGGACAAUGGGGGAAACCCUGAUCCAGCCAUCCCGCGUGUGCGAUGAAGGCCUUCGGGUUGUAAAGCACUUUUGGCAGGAAAGCGGUACCUGCAGAAUAAGCACCGGCUAACUACGUGCCAGCCGCCGCGGUAAUAC